AACAGACGCUGGCGGCGUGCAUAACACAUGCAAGUCUAACGGGAAUGUCGGCUUCGGCUGGCUAGUACCGUGGCGAACGGGUGAGUAACACGUGGGUAAUCUGACCUCGAGUUUGGGAUAACCUUGCGAAAGCGGGGCUAAUACCGAAUAAGACCACGCUCAGUUCGCUGGGUGCGGUAAAAGGUGGCCUCUUCUUGAAAGCUAUCACUUGAGGGUGAGCCCGCGGCCUAUUAGCUAGUUGGUGGGGUAAUGGCCUACCAAGGCGACGAUGGGUAGCCGGCCUGAGAGGGCGUACGGCCACAAUUGAACUGAGACACGGGCCAGACUCCUACGGGAGGCAGCAGUGGGGAAUUUUGCGCAAUGGGGGAAACCCUGACGCAGCAACGCCGCGUGAGUGAUGAAGGCCUUCGGGUUGUAAAGCCCUUUCGGAUAGAAAGAAAACUCUUACUCUAACAUAGUGAGAGAAUGACGGUACUGUCAGAAGAAGCACCGGCUAACUACGUGCCAGCCGCCGCAGUAACAC
rnacentral:rRNA from 1 species